rnacentral:tRNA from 1 species
GCCCAGGUGGCUCAGUCAGUUAAGCAUCUGACUUUGGCUCAGGUCAUGAUCUCAAGGUUCACAGGUUCAAGCCCUGCAUUGGGCU